UACGUAGGGGGCAAGCGUUGUCCGGAAUCAUUGGGCGUAAAGCGCGCGUAGGCGGCCCGGUAAGUCCGUUGUGAAAGUCAAAGGCUCAACCUUUGAACGCCGAUGGAUACUGCCGGGCUAGAGUCCGGAAGAGGCGAGUGGAAUUCCUGGUGUAGCGGUGGAAUGCGCAGAUAUCAGGAGGAACACCAAUAGCGAAGGCAGCUCGCUGGGACGGUACUGACGCUGAGGCGCGAAAGCGUGGGGAUCAAACAGG
rnacentral:rRNA from 1 species